AUUGAACGCUGGCGGCAGGCCUAACACAUGCAAGUCGAACGGUAACAGGAAACAGCUUGCUGUUUCGCUGACGAGUGGCGGACGGGUGAGUAAUGUCUGGGAAACUGCCUGAUGGAGGGGGAUAACUACUGGAAACGGUAGCUAAUACCGCAUGACGUCGCAAGACCAAAGAGGGGGACCCUCGGGCCUCUUGCCAUCGGAUGUGCCCAGAUGGGAUUAGCUUGUUGGUGGGGUAACGGCUCACCAAGGCGACGAUCCCUAGCUGGUCUGAGAGGAUGACCAGCCACACUGGAACUGAGACACGGUCCAGACUCCUACGGGAGGCAGCAGUGGGGAAUAUUGCACAAUGGGCGCAAGCCUGAUGCAGCCAUGCCGCGUGUAUGAAGAAGGCCUUCGGGUUGUAAAGUACUUUCAGCGGGGAGGAAGGGAGUAAAGUUAAUACCUUUGCUCAUUGACGUUACCCGCAGAAGAAGCACCGGCUAACUCCGUG
rnacentral:rRNA from 1 species